rnacentral:rRNA from 1 species
AACGAACGCUGGCGGCAUGCCUAACACAUGCAAGUCGAACGAGACCUUCGGGUCUAGUGGCGCACGGGUGCGUAACGCGUGGGAACCUGCCCUUAGGUUCGGAAUAACUCCCCGAAAGGGGUGCUAAUACCGGAUAAUGUCUUCGGACCAAAGAAUUAUCGCCUUCGGAUGGGCCCGCGUUGGAUUAGCUAGUUGGUAGGGUAAAAGCCUACCAAGGCGACGAUCCAUAGCUGGUCUGAGAGGAUGAUCAGCCACACUGGGACUGAGACACGGCCCAGACUCCUACGGGAGGCAGCAGUGGGGAAUAUUGGACAAUGGGCGAAAGCCUGAUCCAGCAAUGCCGCGUGAGUGAUGAAGGCCUUAGGGUUGUAAAGCUCUUUUACCCGGGAUGAUAAUGACAGUACCGGGAGAAUAAGCUCCGGCUAACUCCGUG